AUUGAACGCUGGCGGCAGGCCUAACACAUGCAAGUCGAACGAGUGGCGGAAGGGUGAGUAAAGUUUGGGAAACUGCCCGAUGGAGGGGGAUAAAUCCUGGAAACGGUAUCUAAAACAGCAUACCAUCGGAUGUGCCCAGAUGGGAUUAGCUUGUAGGUGAGGUAACGGCUCACCUAGCCGACGAUCCCUAGCUGUGCUGAGAGGAUGACAAGCCACACUGGCACUGAGACACGGUCCAGACUCCUACGUGAGGCAGCAGUGGGGAAUAUUGCACAAUGGGCGCAAGCCUGAUCCAGCCAUACCGCGUGUGUGAAGAAGGCCUUCGGGUUGUAAAGCCCUUUUGUUGGGAAAGCGGUACCCAAAGAAUAAGCACCGGCUAACUUCGUGCCAGCAGCCGCGGUAAUUC
rnacentral:rRNA from 1 species